GGGAAAGGUGUCCUUCUCAUGUCCACAGCCACAGAUUGUCCCUGUGACUUUUCUGAGCUCCGGGAGUUAUCUGGUCCUGCCGGGCAACUCUGAGGAGGACAAAGUGUCUAUCACUUUUCAAUUCCGAACAUGGAACAGAGAUGGACAUUUGCUUUUCGGAGAACUUCGACGUGGUUCAGGGAGUUUUGCCCUCUUUCUUAAGGAUGGAAAACUCAAACUGAGCCUCUUCCAGCUGGGACAGUCAUUGAGGAACAUCACAGCAGGUGCUGGAUUAAAUGAUGGGCAGUGGCAUUCCGUGUCCUUAUCUGCGAAGUGGAGCCAUGUGAGUUUGGUGGUGGAUGGUGACAUAGCCAUUCACCCCCUGGUGGCUGUGCUGAUGGACUCAGGGGUCACCUAUUAUUUUGGAGGUAAGUGAAGGCAACUGAAUGACACUGACCGUGGGACCAUUUUUGUCUUUAUUGCUUUGCAUCUCUGUUUCUUGUCAUCUUUAAACCAAGCUAAUAGUAAGAAACGAUGUAUCUCUUUCUAAGAAAUAAAUACCUUUGAGUUUGCAAAGAAAAUAAA